rnacentral:tRNA from 1 species
AAGGGUUGUAGUUUAAAAAAAAAUAUUUAAUUUGCAAUUAAAAGAUACUUUUAGUUAAUCUG